GACGAACGCUGGCGGCGUGCUUAACACAUGCAAGUCGAACGGAAAGGCCCUGCUUUUGUGGGGUGCUCGAGUGGCGAACGGGUGAGUAACACGUGAGUAACCUGCCCUUGACUUUGGGAUAACUUCAGGAAGCUGGGGCUAAUACCGGAUAGGAGCUCCUGCUGCAUGGUGGGGGUUGGAAAGUUUCGGCGGUUGGGGAUGGACUCGCGGCUUAUCAGCUUGUUGGUGGGGUAGUGGCUUACCAAGGCUUUGACGGGUAGCCGGCCUGAGAGGGUGACCGGCCAACAUGGGACUGAGAUACGGACCAGACUCCUACCGGAGGCAACAGUGGGGAAUAUUGCACAAUGGGCGGAAGCCUGAUGCAGCAACGCCGGGUUCGGGAAGAAGGCCUUUGGGGUGUAAACCGCUUUCGCCUGUGACGAAGCGUGAGUGACGGUAAUGGGUAAAGAAGCACCGGCUAACUACGUG
rnacentral:rRNA from 1 species